AAGUGAGAGUGUACUGAUACAUGACACCUUUUCUUAAUUCAGCCCAAAAAUGUAACUAUGAAAAUAAUAAACAAAACAUUCAGCAGACUAGUAUAUUUCAAUAAACCAGGCCUUGUACAUGACAAUUUCUGUAAAUAACACUGACCACCAGAUGGAACCAUCCGUUUUGAUCAUUUUCGAUCGAUCACAGGGUUGAGCAAUAUGUACUUGGCGGGGUCAUGAGCCAUUCCCAAGCAAAUUCCCCUCCAAGUACCUAAGCGAUCGUCAGCCAUCCAAUGGUUGAGCAGAGCUGAGCAGCAAUCAGCCAAUGGUUGAGCAAUGCUGAGCAAAGCUCACGCUCAACAGACCAAUCAUUGAGCGAGGAUCGGAAUACGUCAUCUAGCUGUGUGAGCUGUUAUACAAAAAUACUGGUGGCCAUUGAUGAACGAUUGGACUGUUUUCUUUACUCUCAGAUGAGUCAUGGAGAAGUUUAAACAUCGGUGCAGCGUGUGCGACAAGACUUUCACUGAAAAGUCCAACCUGACGAGGCAUCUGAAGAUCCAUGCUAUAAGUAUAAGAAUGUCAGGGGAGAGAUGGCCGAGAGGAAGCUCUUUAAGGAGAAGAUGGAGUUCCACCCGCCCCCACCUCCUAUGGCCGUCAAGGGAGCUGUGCCCAACAUGCUCUCCUUCUUCACCACCCCUGCCUUCUUCUGGCGCCCGGUCGGCGUGAUGAAGGCAUUGAUCCGCUGCCCCAACACCAACUGCCCCGCACCGCCAGAGUACUACCUGGAGAAGAGAGGGUACGGCAGCUACGCCAGGCAAGUGUACGGCUUGAACUUCCUUUACACCCUGCUGACCGAGAGGUUGAUGUGCAAACACUGUCUCAAGCUGAGGGAGGAGCCAAGCCAGACGCAGGCGGACGACGAGGAGGACGGCGCCCACCGUGCCCAGCUGCAGUACACCUGGCUGGCGUACAGUCCGAAAAUUCUGAUGAACCUUGCCCCGGCCGUCAGAAGCAUGUUCCCUGCCAUAGUCUGUGGCAAGCGUGCUGUGGACAGGAGUGUCGUCACCCUGAUGAGCGACCGACUCAACGCUGUGUCAAUGAGCAAGGUGCAGAGGCUGCUGCAGCAGGGCCACGACGAGUGGUACGUGGAGCGUCGGGACUUGUACCAGACUCUCCUGUACGAUGCCCACACGUCGGCGGCUGGAUCGUCUCAGCAAGGCAUCCUGUCGUUUGCCAGAGCAGCCGGCACUUACACCCUUCCCAUCGCCCCGUCUCCCCUUCCGUCUGCUCGGGUCCUGAGGCGUGCGCACCUGAUCCUGGAGAUGGAGAAGAUGCCCGUGUACAGGGACCAAAUCCUCAGUACGACUGGGGAAAUCUUGUGCAUCGACGGCACAAGGAAGAUUCUCAAGAAGAUCUACGGCGACGGCCAGGGCACCAUGCAGUACGUCACCAGCGUGCUGAAUGAGUGGGGUCAGUUCUUGACCACAGUGGUGGUGGCGUCCGAGUCCGAGGGCUGCUACGCACGCAUGGCCAGAGGUCUGGUCGCCCGCUUUCGCCGUGCCAACGCUCCUGCUCCAAAGGUGGUGUACGCGGACAACAAUUUGCAGUUGAAGAAGAGCAGUCGCGUGAGGAAGAGGAGGAAGAGGAGGAGGAGGAGGAGUCGGCUGAGCAGGGAGACGACGAGACUGCGGACGAGGGUCUCGGCAUGUCUUCUGAUACAGAGGAGGACCCGAUAGACAGAGUCUGUGGGAAGCACGUCGUCCUCACCCAGGCAGAACAGGCGGAAGAGGAGGACAGUCCUGCCCUGCAAGACGUGCUGAUGAGCCAUCGACAUCUGCAGUUGCCAGGUAUAGAGGAAGUGGAAGCACUGGCCUUGCUCCUCCUAGAACUGGCCGACAACAGCGACCACCACCUAGUGCCGGCUGACCUCAGGCAGAAGAUCGCCGCCGCCGCCAGCUCUCUCCACGACCACGACAAGACCGCCGCCCGCUUCUUCAAGCGGUACAAGUCCAGGUGGGGCUACACUUUGUUCCGUCGGUGCCUUGGGGCGGACUCUCCCGAGACCAGAGCAGCCCAGAAAACAAAGUUUGGCUGCAUGAGGUACGCUCAGGCGGCACAGGUGACCGAGGACAGUCGCCUGCUCUACCUCCUCCUCAAGAUGCUGAAGAACCGAGCGCCGACCAAUCAGCCCACCUCCCCCAGCAAGAUCACGGCUUCUUUGAAGGGACACUAUAAUCAGAAUCAGAAUCAGAAAGGUUUUUACUGCCAAGUAGGUUUUCACCUACGAGGAAUUCUUUGUGGUACAAUGGUGCAAACAAUAAACAUACACAAUAAACAAUAAACA
ensembl:lncRNA